rnacentral:snRNA from 1 species
GUGCUCACUUUGGCAGCACAUAUUCUAAAAUUGAAAAGAUACAGAGAAGAUUAGCAUGGCCCCUGCACAAGGAUGACAUGCAAAUUUGUGAAGUGUUCCAUAUUUUU